rnacentral:tRNA from 1 species
GAUUGUAGUUCAGUGGUAGAGUGCUUGCCUUGCAUGCAUGAGGCAUUGGGUUCAAUCCUUAGCAUCA